GACGAACGCUGGCGGCGCGCUUAACACAUGCAAGUCGAACGGAAAGGCCUGCUUUCCCUUGUGGAUUGCGGGUACUCGAGUGGCGAACGGGGGAGUAACACGUGAGUGAUCUGCCCCCAACUUGGGUAUAAGCCUGGGAAACUGGGUCUAAUUCCCGAUAGGACUGCAGGGUGGUGCCUGUGGUGGAAAACGAUUUUCUAGUGGUUGGGGAUGAGCUCGCGGCCUAUCAGCUUGUUGGUGGGGUAAUGGCCUACCAAGGCGGCGACGGGUAGCCGGCCUGAGAGGGUGGACGGCCACAUUGGGACUGGGAUACGGCCCAGACUCCUACGGGAGGCAGCAGUGGGGAAUAUUGCACAAUGGGCGGAAGCCUGAUGCAGCGACGCCGCGUGGGGGAUGACGGCCUUCGGGUUGUAAACUCCUUUCGACCGCGAGGAAGCUACCUGGUUGGAAGGGUGGUGACGGUAGUGGUAGAAGAAGCACCGGCUAACUACGUG
rnacentral:rRNA from 1 species